rnacentral:rRNA from 1 species
GUAAUGCGUGACCAACCUGCCCCAUGCUCCAGAAUAGCUCUUGGAAACGGGUGGUAAUGCUGGAUGCUCCAACUUGACGCAUGUCUUGUUGGGAAAGUGUUUAGUGGCAUGGGAUGGGGUCGCGUCCUAUCAGCUUGUAGGCGGGGUAAUGGCCCACCUAGGCUUCGACGGGUAGCCGGCCUGAGAGGGCGGACGGCCACAUUGGACUGAGAUACGGCCCAGACUCCUACGGGAGGCAGCAGUC